UCUUUAUUUUAAAAAUUUUUAUUACUUAAGUAGUGUGAAUAUAUGAUUUAUAGAAAGUAAUGUAAAUUAGUUAAUUUUAGAAUGUUUGAAACUUAAAAGGCUUGGCGGUGUUAUAUGUCCUUCCAGAGGAGUUUGCUUAUUAAUUUGAUAAUCCUCAAUUUAUACUUACUUUUUUUUGAAUUUUAAAUAAAUUUAUCAGUUUGUAUAUUGCUGUCAUCAGUUUAUUUUGUAAAAAUUUUAUAAGAAACUUAAUAAUGUAAUGAUUAUUAUGUCAAGUCAAAAUGCAGCUAAUAGAAAAGGUUUAAAGUGAACUACAGUUUAUAAUUUUUAAGUCGGAUUAAGUUAUGUAAUUAAUUUAUAAAGUUGGAUUUGGUAGUAAUAUUAUAAUAGUGAGUUUUUAUGAAUUAGGUUUUAUAAUGCGU
rnacentral:rRNA from 1 species